UAAGUAGGUGGCAAGCGUUGUCCGGAUUUAUUGGGCGUAAAGCGAGCGCAGGCGGUUCCUUAAGUUUGAUGUGAAAGCCCCCGGCUCAACCGGGGAGGGUCAUUGGAAACUGGGGAACUUGAGUGCAGAAGAGGAGAGUGGAAUUCCAUGUGUAGCGGUGAAAUGCGUAGAUAUAUGGAGGAACACCAGUGGCGAAGGCGACUCUCUGGUCUGUAACUUACGCUGAGGCUCUAAAGCGUGGGUAGCCACCAUA
rnacentral:rRNA from 1 species